rnacentral:rRNA from 1 species
CCAGCCCGCUCAGAAACUCAAAGGAAUUGACGGGGGCCCGCACAAGCGGUGGAGCAUGUGGUUUAAUCGAUGAUACGCGAGGAACCUUACCUGGGCUCAAAUGUAUGUUGACGUAUUCUGAAAGGGAUACUUCUUCGGACAAUAUACAAGGUGCUGCAUGGUUGUCGUCAGCUCGUGCCGUGAGGUGUCGGGUUAAGUCCCAUAACGAGCGCAACCCCUAUCAUUAGUUGCCAUCAGGUCAAGCUGGGGACUCUAAUGAAACUGCCUACGCAAGUAGUGAGGAAGGUGGGGAUGACGUCAAAUCAGCACGGCCCUUACGUCCAGGGCUACACACGUGCUACAAUGGCCGAUACAAAGGGCAGCGACACUGCGAGGUGAAGCCAAUCCCGUAAAAUCGGUCUCAGUCCGGAUUGGAGUCUGCAACUCGACUCCAUGAAGUUGGAAUCGCUAGUAAUCGUGGAUCAGCAUGCCACGGUGAAUACGUUCCCGGGCCUU